UACGGGGGGGGGCAAGCGUUGUUCGGAAUUACUGGGCGUAAAGGGCUCGUAGGCGGCCAACUAAGUCAGACGUGAAAUCCCUCGGCUUAACCGGGGAACUGCGUCUGAUACUGGAUGGCUAGAGGUUGGGAGAGGGAUGCGGAAUUCCAGGUGUAGCGGUGAAAUGCGUAGAUAUCUGGAGGAACACCGGUGGCGAAGGCGGCAUCCUGGACCAAUUCUGACGCUGAAGAGCGAAAGCCAGGGGAGCAAACGGG
rnacentral:rRNA from 1 species